AAAUUUGAAAUCUGGCGUCUUCGACGUCCGAGUUGUAAUUUGUAGAGGAUGCUUCUGAGUAACCACCGACCUAAGUUCCUUGGAACAGGACGUCAUAGAGGGUGAGAAUCCCGUAUGCGGUCGGAAAGGUGCUCUACACGUAGCUCCUUCGACGAGUCGAGUUGUUUGGGAAUGCAGCUCUAAAUGGGAGGUAAAUUUCUUCUAAAGCUAAAUAUUGGCCAGAGACCGAUAGCGCACAAGUAGAGUGAUCGAAAGAUGAAAAGCACUUUGGAAAGAGAGUUAAAAAGCACGUGAAAUUGUUAAAAGGGAAGGGAUUGCAACCAGACUUGCUCGCGGUGUUCCGCCGGUCUUCUGACCGGUCUACUCGCCGCGUUGCAGGCCAGCAUCGUCUGGUGCCGCUGGAUAAGACUUGAGGAAUGUAGCUCCCUCGGGAGUGUUAUAGCCUCUUGUGAUGCAGCGAGCGCCGGGCGAGGUCCGCGCUUCGGCUAGGAUGCUGGCGUAAUGGUCGUAAUCCGCCCGUCU
rnacentral:rRNA from 1 species